AAUUUAACCAAUACAAAAAAAUAUUGUGGAAUUUAAAUAGUCAAAUUUAUUAAAUUAAUAUUAAAAAGUGCAUAAAGACAUGAGAAAACCUUGUAAAAUGGAACAAAUUAUACUCCCUCUCUUCCAUUAUAUGAGAAUUAUUGGUUCAAAGGACAAAAAAUAAUAAAUAAUAAAUAUUAUAUUAUUUAAUCAAAUUAAAAGAAAAUACUACAAAAUUUAAAUAGUCAAAAAAAUAUUAAAUUAAUAUAAAAAUGCAUUAAAACUUAAAAAUCUUAUAAAAUAGAACAAACAGAAAAUGUUAAAAGAACUUAUAUAUUCGAAGAGAUGAAGUAUCUUGUAAAGAAGAAGUAUCAUUUAAGAGUCUUUUAUUUGCACUAACCUUAAUAUAAGAGCAAGUACAACGGUGGUAUUUAAAGGGUUUUUAGGGUUACUUAAGAAUAAAAAUAAAUCAUAAUACAUGAUAAAUGUUAAAAUCGAUUCUUAAUUAAGCAUUUUUAGUAUCGAUUCUUAUGUUAUAUGUGUUUGUCUCUGAUUGGUUCUUGAAUUUAACAAAAAGAAAAGAAAAAAACAUCGACGGUAGCUUUUUUCUUUUUUCCUCUCUUCCUCUCUCUAUCAUUUCACGAACCCAAAAUCGGUGAAGUUUUCUCAAGUCGGAAUCUGUUGAAUUGAGAGAGAGGAGAUGAGUCGGAAAUGGUUGAAUUUUCCUCAAGUCUCAAUCUUCUAAACUCCUCAACGCUGUCUCUGAUUUUGGGGUUAGUUGUUUCUCUCAAUUGGGGAGUCGGAUUGAGUUCGUGCAUCACGUUUCGGCGAGUUACAGGUGUUGCGCAGGUAUCCUUUAUUGGGUUACGUAUUGGGCUAAGGAUUUGGCAUCAUCCAAUCCUGAGCCUUGACUUUAUCAGACUAAUGUUCGCCUCUGCGGACCAAACCUUUUGUGAGCUUUAUAUUUUCAGGCUCAAACCUACUGAUGAAGGUAUCUUCUUCAAACCAAAUCUCUCUUUUUGCUCUCAACCCAUUCAUAUACCAGUUGCAGUUUCUCGGGUAUUUUAGUGUUGCUUCAUGUUUUAUGCUCUUCUUAUUUGGCUGAGCAUAGCAUAAAACAUAGUUUAAUUUGAUGGUUAACAAGUGGGGGAUUCUGGAUAUUUUGCCUUUUAGUUGAUUAUUGGAUAGUUGCCUGUAGUUGAUGAUGGACUCUAGGAAUACUUCUUUCGCAUAUUGUUGUGCCUCAUGUGUAUGGCACAUUCUGAAAAUGCGGAAGUGAUUGUGUUUGGAUGUAAACUAGUGUGUGUGUGGUUAUGAUACAUAUAUUGCUGCUGUUCAAGUGGAUCCUCCUCCUCCUUAGUAAAGACACACAAUCGGUGUUUAUCUCUUUCCUCUCUCUUCUCUGUUUUUGUAUUUCUGAUGCUACAUCUAUUAAUCCUUCUUGUCUCUGUUAUUUCAGGUAAAGGGUGACAACCGAAGAGCUUGCUGUUACAAGAGGUUAAGGGUGACAACCAAAGAUCAACCUCUCUAUUGCAGAUCGCUAUUGUAGUUACUGAGUCCGGAUUCUUCACGUUAUUGCAGCCAGGAUGAUAACUAAUCGUUUUUGUAAUUUUUUUUUAAUAUGCUUUUAUAUCAUGUAACUUUAAAUUUUACGAAAUACAAAAUUUUUUAUGUU